rnacentral:rRNA from 1 species
AGCAGUCGCCGCGGUAAAACGUAGGUCCCGAGCGUUGUCCGGAUUUAUUGGGCGUAAAGCGAGCGCAGGCAGUUAGAUAAGUCUGAAGUUAAAGGCUGUGGCUUAACCAUAGUACGCUUUGGAAACUGUUUAACUUGAGUGCAAGAGGGGAGAGUGGAAUUCCAUGUGUAGCGGUGAAAUGCGUAGAUAUAUGGAGGAACACCGGUGGCGAAAGCGGCUCUCUGGCUUGUAACUGACGCCGAGGCUCGAAAGCGUGGGGAGCAAACAGGAUUAGAGACCCGGGUAGUCCCUGUCUCUUAUACA